GUCACUUUGGCGGAGUGGUUAACGCGCUGCCCUGCUAAUUUAGGCAGUUCCUUCGGGAGCGUAGGUUCGAAUCCUACAGGUGACG
rnacentral:tRNA from 1 species